rnacentral:lncRNA from 1 species
GGAAUCGAAUUGAAACCCCAAAACACUAAGGCCUUAAUUUUCAACGAAGAAAUGAGAUAAUACAAAACCUGUGUAUAGCUAUCUUCUUCAACAACUCACAGAUUAGGGCUUCUUCCUUUAGCACACUUCAGUCGGACAAACCCUUCACUCUACCGUACCCCAGAAUUCACCACAAAUCCCCUGAUGCUUAAACCAACCCUACAGUGAAAUCGAAGUUUAUUGGCAGAGAACAUUGGAAGGGAGAUGAACGAUGGAAGAGAAGCGUAAGAAAAUGGAGCAAAAGAUCAGGCCCCUCCCUCUCUUUGAUUUUUGACCCUUUUUCAAAUUUUAGUUAAUUUUUAGUUCUAGGCUGAAAAAUAGUGCCCCCUUGGUACCUUUUUUU